rnacentral:rRNA from 1 species
UACAGAGGUCCCAAGCGUUGUUCGGAUUCACUGGGCGUAAAGGGUGCGUAGGUGGCGGGGAAAGUUUGAUGUGAAAUCUCCGGGCUUAACCCGGAAAUGGCAUUGAAUACUAUUCCGCUUGGAGGGUUGGAGGGGGGACUGGAAUUCUCGGUGUAGCAGUGAAAUGCGUAGAUAUGACAUAGAACACCGAUAGCGAAGGCAGCUUGCUACACAAUCAUUGACACUGAGGCACGAAAGCGUGGGGAUCAAACAGG